AUACCCAAGUUGGGGCUCUCUUGGCUCCAAUUCUAAAACUAAGUGAUGGUAGAACUAGCUGCAUUUUCAUGGAUACCUUUGAUUUCACAGCAAAUAAACUUGGGAAGCAUGCAUGUGAAUGUCAUGGGUUUGCAUGAAUCUGGAGAUGGGGUUACCUUUAUCUUUUUGUAUCGGAGUGAAGGGAGCUUCAAAUAGGCUCUUA